rnacentral:rRNA from 1 species
AAAAUACUGGGCAGCUAGGGAGUGGGAGAGGUACACGGUACUCAAUAGGAAGGGGUAAAAUCCUUUGAUCUAUUGAUGACCACCUGUGGCGAAGGCGGUGUACCAGAACACGUUCGACGGUGAGGGAUGAAAGCUGGGGGAGCAAACCGGAUUAGAUACCCGGGUAGUCCCAGCUGUAAACGAUGCAGACUCGGUGAUGCAUUGGCUUGUGGCCAAUGCAGUGCCGCAGGGAAGCCGUUAAGUCUGCCGCCUGGGAAGUACGUACGCAAGUAUGAAACUUAAAGGAAUUGGCGGGGGAGCACCACAAGAGGUGAAGCCUGCGGUUCAAUUGGAGUCAACGCCAGAAAUCUUACCUGGGGCGACAGCAGAAUGAAGGUCAAGCUGAAGACUUUACCAGACAAGCUGAGAGGUGGUGCAUGGCCGUCGCCAGCUCGUGCCGUGAGAUGUCCUGUUAAGUCAGGUAACGAGCGAGACCCCUGCGUCUAGUUGCUACCAUUACUCUCUGGAGUAGUGGAGCGAAUUAGACGGACCGCCACAGUUAAUGUGGAGGAAGGAAGGGGCCACGGCAGGUCAGUAUGCCCCGAAACCCUAGGGCUACACGCGGGCUGCAAUGGUAUUGACAAUGUGUUCCGAAUCCGAAAGGAGGAGGCAAUCAUCAAACGAUACCUCAGUUAUGACUGAGGGCUGUAACUCGCCCUCACGAAUAUGGAAUCCCUAGUAACUGCGCGUCACUACCGCGCGGUGAAUACGUCCCUGCUCCUUGCACACACCGCCCGUCGUUUCAUCGAAGUUGGCCUUUAGUGAGGUAGUGUCUUGUUGGCAUUAUCGAGCUUGAGGUCAGUGACGAGGGAAAAGUCGUAACAAGGUA